GUUCGUCUUGCAAAAGAUCACGACACACAACGAGCGAAAAGGAGAAAAUGGGAUUCAUCAUCUAAAUGUAACGGAUUAAUUCGGGAAAUGAUCUCAGGACCGGAUCUAUAUCCGACGAAUUGGAAAGGUUCGGAACCACCACUGCUAUAUCUUGUUAUUUCGAGAAAAACGAGCGAUACGUGACCACCGGAGAAGAGGAAACACAUCGCCAAAUAGAUCGAGAUGAUUGUUUAGAAGCCUCGGUUGGAAGUGACUGAAAUCGGUUGUUGGACAAGAAUGUUGGAAGAGUGUUGUUAUAUUACGCAGUUUACCCAU